CGGGUGCCUUAGUUCCUUAAUCUGGGGAGUGGUUACUAACUGACCUUAAGGCCUUUAGAGGGGAAAAACACAAUAGCAGACUUUAAUGCUGUCUUUGCUGUAGCAAGGAACUGGAAUGGCCUUUUCAAGAUUGGACCCAGCUAGGUGAAGCAAUUUAUAGGAAAGAGUUGAAGAGGCAGAGGGCUCCAGAAAAGAAGAGGUUAACUUCUGUCACAGAAAUGCCUGUGAAUAAACAAUUUGGUUCUCAGGAGAAACUCCCCCUGGUUAACUGUUGACAGCUUCAAACUGGGUGGGGCAAAAUUGGCAGGAUGAAGAACUUUUUUUUUUCCUAGUAGCCUUCUCUAAGGUUGCUAGUGGUGGUGGUGUGUUUCUGAAUGUCCAUACCCCAGGAAUUUAAAAAGCCAGUCAAGAGGAGACCAAUUUUUUGGUCUCUUGAGCUUUUCAACUUUCCAGGUCACCGAUACUUUUGCUAGGGGUGGAGUAGUAGGUUGCCUGUACAGAGUUCUCCAUUGCUGCCGUCUGGUUCCUUGACCGGCUGUUCCUGCAGUCUUGUGACUUGAACACAAAGUAAAGCAGAAUACUGUGGAGCAGGCCGCUGCUUCUCUCUUCGAACACAUCUGUCUUUUAGGGCUCCGAACAUAGCUGACUUUUUGUACUAAGCUUCACACAGGUGUUAACUGAGGUGAUCAGUUAAAAGUCAAGGGACAGGGUCUGUGUGUGGUUCUUGCAGAGGACCUGGGUUCCAUCUCCAGCAUCUAGGUGGUAGCUCACAACCAUCCAUAAUUCCAGUGUCAGGAGAGCUGAUGCUUCUCUUCAGACUUCCUAAGAUAUCAGACAUAAAUGACAGACACAGAUACAUGUUGCAGACAAAACACUCAUAUAUAAAAUAAUUCUAAUAAUAAUAGUCUUGAGCAAAGGUCAAGGAACAAAACAGGAAUUUCCCAACAAACAGGGAUUCUGCUACCUUUUACAGCAAUGAACCAGAAGUCACCAUCCCAUCAGGUUAUCGAGGACCCAUCUUCAAGUUUCCGGGAAUCAUGUAACAUCCUAUGUAGUAGGGGUUUUGACAGCAGGAUAUGUAGCUUUUAUCAGCUUCUCAUGGGAGUUUAUGACACUUUCCCAAAGUUAGAAUUGCUGAUUUAGUUACCUGCAAACCUGGCAGACAAACAUUUCUGUGCUGGACAUUCCAUAUUUCUGCUAUCUAGGUAUUUUUAUAGGCAAUGCAUUUCCUUCCUUUGAAAUAUAAAUAUAUUACUGGAAAUGUAGCUCAGUUGGUAAAGUGCUGACCUAGCAAGCAUGAUGCCCUGGGUUCUACCUUCAGCACUGUGUAAUCUCUUCACAGAGGUGCACCCCUGUGAUCCUGGCGUCUGGAUGAUGAAGGCAAGAGGAGCAGAAGCUUAAAGUUUCUUGACUGUAUAGCAAGUUCAGAGCCAGCCAGGGCUAUAUAUAUAUAUAUUUAUACACACACACAUGUAUAUAUAUGAAAAUAUAAAAAUAUGAAGAAAUAUAUAAUCAAUGUGUACAAUUUUGUUAAUUCUUUUAAAAGCUGGGUCAGAUAGCUGGAGAAGUUACUUGCCUUCCAACCAGUCUGGGUUCGAUCUCUGGAACCCAAGCGAAGAAGAAAACAAAAUCUAGAACGGAAUCUACAGAGUUAUUCUCUGACCUCCACAAACACACAUUAACAAUUUAAAAAACAAAACC
rnacentral:lncRNA from 1 species